rnacentral:rRNA from 1 species
UUGAGCGCUGAAGGAUUGGUACUUGUACCAACUGGAUGAGCAGCGAACGGGUGAGUAACGCGUGGGGAAUCUGCCUUUGAGCGGGGGACAACAUUUGGAAACGAAUGCUAAUACCGCAUAAAAACUUUAAACACAAGUUUUAAGUUUGAAAGAUGCAAUUGCAUCACUCAAAGAUGAUCCCGCGUUGUAUUAGCUAGUUGGUGAGGUAAAGGCUCACCAAGGCGAUGAUACAUAGCCGACCUGAGAGGGUGAUCGGCCACAUUGGGACUGAGACACGGCCCAAACUCCUACGGGAGGCAGCAGUAGGGAAUCUUCGGCAAUGGACGAAAGUCUGACCGAGCAACGCCGCGUGAGUGAAGAAGGUUUUCGGAUCGUAAAACUCUGUUGGUAGAGAAGAACGUUGGUGAGAGUGGAAAGCUCAUCAAGUGACGGUAACUACCCAGAAAGGGACGGCUAACUACGUGCCAGCAGCCGCGGUAAUACGUAGGUCCCGAGCGUUGUCCGGAUUUAUUGGGCGUAAAGCGAGCGCAGGUGGUUUAUUAAGUCUGGUGUAAAAGGCAGUGGCUCAACCAUUGUAUGCAUUGGAAACUGGUAGACUUGAGUGCA